GAUGCUUAAAUUCAAUGAUUAGGUGAUCAAGUAAAAAGUGCGCGAUUACACGGUUCGCUAUCUCAUUUUUUACCCCUCUCCUCAGGAGCCUGGUUAUUAUGUACAAAGAUACAUACUUUUUUGCAGUAUGUAUCUAGAUGUUUGAGGUACAUAGGUAUGGAGGUACAAACAUCACCUGAUGCUCUUCAAUGAUUAGGUGAUCGAGUAAAAAGUGCGGGAUUACACGGUUCCGUAUCUCAUUUUUUACCCCUCUCCUCAGGAGCCUGGUUACUAUGUACAGAUAUACAUCUCAGUUGAUGUAUGUUUAUAGAUAAUUGAGGUAUUCGAACAUGACAAACAUCACGUAAGGCUCAAAUUUAAUGUUUAGGUGAUCGUGUGAAAGGUGCGCGAUUUCACUUUUGCUUUACUUGUCUGUUACACUUUUUCGAGGUGGUGGGUUUCAUAAAAAUUGCUCUCUCUGUGAGCCUGGGUACUAUGUACAGAGAUGCAUCUCGUGUUGCUGUGUAUAUCCAGAUUAUUGAGGUAUCUGACCAUGACAAACAUCACCUGAGGCUCUUUAAUGUUUAGGUGAUCGUGUGAAAGUUGCUAACUGUGCGGUAGAAUAGUGAUUGAGGUUUUACACGUGACGAACAUGAUGCGACUUAACCUCAAAUCAGCGGAAUUCCUCAGCUGAUGACCGAAGGGUGGAUAUCACUGGUGAUGCUCGAAAGGACGGUGAUAUUUUGCUGAGAUGACGGAUAGUGUUGUGCGGUUGCAGACGGAAAGUGCGAUGAUUUCUACGAGAAAUCUUCUGGUUUGCUUGUGAUGUUCAGCGUCACCGAUGAAGAACGCGCGGGUGUUUCAUCGUGGGUGUGUAAUUUGACGUGUGCUGAGUUAAUGGAACUUCACGUUGAAAGUAUACGUCAUUCGCAAGGCUGAGGAGCGCCGAAGGAGCACAUUUCAUUUUCCAAAUAUUCGUUAUAGUCGGGGAACGUGCACUUUACGGAUAGCAGUGAAACAUGAUCCUAGAUGCCCUGCUGCGCCUGGCUCUGGUUGGCGUUCUGAUGAGCUCCCCGAUGACGUCACAGCACACGACUCACCCCGAAUCAGCCUCGCUCAACGCCACAUCGUCGGCGGGAACGCGACGUGUCGUCUUAGCGAGUUCCGCUGUCAGAAUGGCAAGUGCGUCCCUCUCAGCCAGGUCUGCAAUCAUCUCAAUGAAUGUGGGGAUGGCUCCGACGAACUCAAAUACUGCACACCCUGUAACAAAACCUAUUAUGGAGAUGUUGGAAGGACCCAUGAAAUAGAGCUUCACCGACCAAAAGAAGACCGGUUACCCUACCUAUGCUAUCUAACAUUUAAAGCGGCUGGGAAUUCAUACGGAAUUUGAUACAGGUACUUGCAUCAUGAAAAUUUGGUUACUGAACAUAUAGUUAUCAUUUCAGAUACCACAAAUUUAAACAAGUUAAUUAAU
rnacentral:lncRNA from 1 species